UACGUAGGGUGCUAGCGUUGUCCGGAUUUAUUGGGCGUAAAGGGCUCGUAGGCGGUCUGUCGCGUCGGAUGUGAAAACCCAGGGCUCAACCCUGGGCCUGCAUUCGAUACGGGCAGACUAGAGUACGGCAGGGGAGACUGGAAUUCCUGGUGUAGCGGUGAAAUGCGCAGAUAUCAGGAGGAACACCGGUGGCGAAGGCGGUUCUCUGGGCCUCUACUGACGCUGAGGAGCGAAAGCGUGGGGAGCAAACAGG
rnacentral:rRNA from 1 species